rnacentral:tRNA from 1 species
UCCUGGCUGGCUUAGUUGGUAGAGCGUGUGAUUCUUGAUCUCAGGAUUGUGAGUUCAAGCCCCACGUUGGGCA